CUGGCGAGCGGCGGACGGGUGAGUAAUGCAUGGGAACUUACCCAGUAGUGGGAGAUAGCCCGGGGAAACCCGGAUUAUACCGCAUCGCCCUGAGGGGGAAAGCGGGCUCCGGCUCGCGCUAUUGGAUGGGCCCAUGUCGGAUUAGUUAGUUGGUGGGGUAACGGCCUACCAAGGCACGAUCCGUAGCUGGUCUGGAGGAGAUCAGCCACACCGGACUGAGACACGGCCCGGACUCCUACGGGAGGCAGCAGUGGGGAAUAUUGGACAAUGGGGGCAACCCUGAUCCAGCCAUGCCGCGUGUGUGAAGAAGCCUUCGGGUUGUAAAGCACUUUCAGCAGGGAGGAAAAGCAGUCGGUUAAUACCCGGCUGUGUUGACGUUACCUGCAGAAGAAGCACCGGCUAACUCCGUGCCAGCAGCCGCGUAAUACGAGGGUGCAAGCGUUAAUC
rnacentral:rRNA from 1 species